GUGCCAGCUCUGACAAACCCUUGUGUUGACAUAAUAAUCACAAUAUCGCUAUAACUACCACACAUACACAAGGGGAAGAGAAGCAAGAAGAUGCAUUUCAGUGUCCAAUUGUUGUAGUAGCUACUAUCUUGUCUCAUCGCUACAACUCCCGUACGGGCUCGGGAGAGACGAAGGUUGAAAGUCAUGCAUCCUCCGACACACAACCCAACCUAGCCGCACUGCUUCUUAACACAGCACCAUCCAACCCGGAAGCCAGCUGCACCAAUGUGUCGGAGGAAACACCGUGCACCUGGCAACCUUGGUUAGCGCGCACUGCACACGGCCCGCCACAGGAGUCACUGGUGUGCAAUGAGACAUCCCUACCGACCAAGCCCUCCCUAACCCAGAUGACGCUAGGCCAAUUGUGCGUCACCCAACGGACAUCCCGACAUCCCGGUUACGACAGAGCCUGUGCGCGAACCCAGGGUCUCUGAUGGCACAGCUGGCGCUGCAGUACAGCACCCUUAACCACUGCACCACCCGGAAGGCCUUGUUUCACAAUACUACUUACCUGCCAGUGUUGUGAUUGGCUGUGAUAUUCGCCUAUUAAUUUCACCCACUGGGCCAGCUUCUUUUGUCAAAAUAGGAAAGCUAUUUGGCCGUAUUAUCUAGUGGAAACCAGGGAUGUAGAAAUCGCUCUUUCAUUUCCUGUUGCUAAAAUUCUACACUGUUCGAUCAAUUUCAUUUUAUGUGAGAAAACAAUCACUGAAUAGUGUGUAGGGAAUCAUUGUAUGAUCUAAAUCACUGUGAAAUAUAUUUUUAAUAACAAAAAAUAUAGUUCUUACAGCUGCUUGAAGCUGGUGGACCAAAACUGAAUGUAAAAGGCUCAAGUGUAUUUGUUUUGAAUGUAGCCUAUUGCUGUUGCAAUUCCCCUAGCUUCCACAUAGUGGAGAAAUUCUAUUUGUACCACCUUUAAACAUAAUAUUACAUCACAAUUUGGCACAGUGCAUUAUUUAUGACAAUUUUAUAACCUUUACAUCAAAACAGAAAAAAAGCUAUGUCACUGAUCUUACUGUGUGCUUUGCGGGGUGAGUUUCCUGUUUGAAGCUUGCUUUGCCCCCCUCUAUGAUGAAGCUUGCUCUGCCCUCCUCUAUGAUGUCACACCAAUAAAGUGAUGGGAUUUUGAUAAUGUGGUUUCUCUGCAAGGGUAAUAAUAGGUUAGAUGUUCUCUUGUCAGACCAAUAAAUAAACAUGUCAGGAUUAAGCUGUCACAGUUUAUAUAAUGUCCCACUCUUUCCCGAAUUCACCCUAUUCAUUAUUGUAUAUUCAAAGUCUUGGAUUGUGCUUGAUAGGCCUAGGCCACCACCAUCACAUACUGCAAGGUUAUAUAUUAACCACCACACACUGACACCUGGCUGACACAGUUGGUUGGGCUUGGGAAACUGUAUUAUGGAAAAGCUUUGCUUAGCGACCAAUUGUGCAGUGUUACAACUUCUUUAUGCCAAUGACGUGGUAAAAUGUGUCUACUUGUGAGCACUGUUGGGAAAAAGGUCCAGUGUAACAGGAACCCUUGCGAUUUCCUUACCCCAUUUAAGUAGACAU
ensembl:lncRNA